rnacentral:misc_RNA from 1 species
AUGAAUGUUAAUGUUGUUCCAUAUAGUCAAAAUAGCUCAGAGGAUUCGAAAAUCCUUUUUUCAGAACUUAAUCCUUUCCAGAUCAAAGGAACUGGAAAAAGUUUCAUACACAACAAACAUGCUGAGAACAAAGUUGAGGACUUUAAAGGGCAGAAAAAUAAUCCCCUUCCUGGUCGACCCCCUGUGCCAUUGAUGUGGAAGAAUCGAUAU